GACGAACGCUGGCGGCGCGCCUAACACAUGCAAGUCGAACGAGCGAGAGAGAGUUUGCUUUCUCGAGCGAGUGGCGAACGGGUGAGUAACGCGUGAGGAACCUGCCUCAAAGAGGGGGACAACAGUUGGAAACGAUAGCUAAUACCGCAUAACAGUGUUUAACACAUGUUAGAUGCUUGAAAGAUGCAAAUGCAUCACUAGUAGAUGGACCUGCGUUGUAUUAGCUAGUUGGUGGGGUAACGGCCUACCAAGGCGACGAUACAUAGCCGACCUGAGAGGGUGAUCGGCCACACUGGGACUGAGACACGGCCCAG
rnacentral:rRNA from 1 species